rnacentral:lncRNA from 1 species
CUAAGCAUAAAUUUAAAAGUUAAGAGUUGAAAAAGAUCUGACCAAUGGGCUGCAAUCCAAUAGACAAGAAUGUCAUAUAGAAACCCAAAUUCCCUUAGACUUUUAGAAUCAAGCAACAAACAAUGCACAAAAUCUCAAAUUGAAGAGCAAGGCAUCAAAUAAAUAUAGCCACAUCCAAGCUUAGAAAUUCCAUGAUCUUCUUCAAAGUUUC